rnacentral:pre_miRNA from 1 species
AUCACCUGGGGACUUGUUAAAAUGCAGAUUCUGAUUCAGUAGGUCUGGGGUGGGGCUUGAGAUUUUGCAUUUCUAACAAGUUCUCAAGUAAGAUCAU